rnacentral:rRNA from 1 species
GAUCAUGGCUCAGGACGAACGCUGGCGGCGUGCUUAACACAUGCAAGUCGAACGGAGCACCCUUGACUGAGGUUUCGGCCAAAUGAUAGGAAUGCUUAGUGGCGGACUGGUGAGUAACGCGUGAGGAACCUACCUUCCAGAGGGGGACAACAGUUGGAAACGACUGCUAAUACCGCAUGACGCAUGACCGGGGCAUCCCGGGCAUGUCAAAGAUUUUAUCGCUGGAAGAUGG